rnacentral:rRNA from 1 species
AGGAUCAUUAUCAUGUAAAUUCAGUCAUGCUUGCCGCGUGAGNNNNNAUACACCCACACUGCGUACACCUCUCCUGUUGNNNNGCCGCCGGGUCCAGACCAUAAUCUGUGCCCGGCGGAAAAUGAACCCCAAGUCAUACGAAUAGAAUCUGUCUGAACAAACGAAGAAACCAAAUGGAAUGUUAAAACUUUCAGCAACGGAUCUCUUGGUUCUCGCAUCGAUGAAGAACGCAGCGAAAUGCGAUAAGUAGUGUGAAUUGCAGAAUUUAGUGAAUCAUCGAAUCUUUGAACGCACAUUGCGCCUCCCGGUAUUCCGGGGGGCAUGCCUGUUCGAGAGUCAUUGACAACCACAUCGAAUCCCCCCGCUUCAGUCCUCUCGAGGGGCUUUGGGGAGGGGGGGGGAGGAUCGGUUCUGGUGGAAGAGGGGAACGAGUUGCCUCGCUACCGUAGGCUUGGCAAAAUCCCCUCCCCGCCGAAAUUCUUACGCGGUCUGUGCCAAACCCACAUGCCUUAUACUUGUGCGCGUCGUAGAGGAAGGCCCCUCACAAUUCUGGAGGAGCCACUUUUCGCGUGUGUAUAAUGAAUGCUGGUUUCGGGACCACGGACUAGCCAGCCAUCCAAAGAAGGAAUAAGAAUCC